rnacentral:misc_RNA from 1 species
GAUGAAGAACGUAGCGAAAUGCGAUAAGUAAUGUGAAUUGCAGAAUUCAGUGAAUCAUCGAAUCUUUGAACGCACAUUGCGCCCUUUGGCAUUCCGAAGGGCACACCUGUCCGAGCGCCGUCGCACAACUGAGGCGCAGCCUUGCGUUGGCGGGCGACUUGUGAGUAGCGAGUCGCCGCCCAAACGAGACGGCGCCGCGCCGCGGCCGACGAAGCACGAAAGCGGAAGUCGACGCGGAGGCGGUUGCCUGUAGGAUGACACAGCUUGGCCUCGGAUCAGGUGGGGAUACCCGCUGAACUUAAGCAUAUCAAUAAGCGGAGGA